rnacentral:rRNA from 1 species
GUGAGGAAUAUUGGUCAAUGGGCGGGAGCCUGAACCAGCCAAGUCGCGUGAAGGAAGAAGGAUCUAUGGUUCGUAAACUUCUUUUGCAGGGGAAUAAAGUGCAGGACGUGUCCUGUUUUGUAUGUACCCUGAGAAUAAGGAUCGGCUAACUCCGUGCCAGCAGCCGCGGUAAUACGGAGGAUCCGAGCGUUAUCCGGACUUAUUGGGUUUAAAGGGUGCGUAGGUGGUUUGAUAAGUCAGCGGUGAAAGUUUGCAGCUUAACUGUAAAAAUGCCGUUGAAACUGUCGGACUUGAGUGUAAAUGAGGUAGGCGGAAUGCGUGGUGUAGCGGUGAAAUGCAUAGAUAUCACGCAGAACUCCGAUUGCGAAGGCAGCUUACUAAGCUACAACUGACACUGAAGCACGAAAGCGUGGGGAUCAAACAGGAUUAGAUACCCGUGUAGUCC